AUGUUGGGACACAAAAUAUCAACAAUCGCGGUUACACGUGUUAGUAUUUCUCGGGUUCGAAUGAAUGUAAUAAGAGUUGGCAAUGUUGGAUGUGAUCUCAUUAAAAGUUUAUUUUCUGGAAUAAAAGAAGCGGGUUGAAAAAAAAAUAGUAAGCAUGCAUAUGUGUUUUAUUUUUCGUGUUUAUUUCUCAGUUUAUUCUUGUUCUUGACUUCCUUGAGGACAAGGAAAGGUUUAAGCUUGGGGAGAUUUGUUAGUUGCAUUUUUAGGCACGUUUCUAUAGCAUAUUUAUGUUAAAAUUUCAUCACAUUUCAUGCAUAUUUCAUAGCCAUACCUCAUUAUUUUGCGAAACACUUGUUUUUGUGGAAUGGACUCUACUUUGGUUUGUUUUUGGUUGAUUUUGUAGGUGUGGAGUAAUUGCUAAGGAUUACAAUGGAUUUCUGAAAGAACUUGAGGAGUGCAUCUAAAAAGAAGGUGUUUAUUAAUGAAGAUAACUCAUUCAACAUGUGAAUUAAAUGGCUGGACUAUUCUGGUGCAAAGUCAAGAAAUAUAAAGUGAUCAUUGUGUUGCAACAAAUAAAGAUUUUUGUGGGCUGAAUUUUAGAGGUAUGGAAUUAAUAAGUCUAUAUGGGUUGGCCACGAGAGAGAAAAAAAUUUGGCUUUUUGGGGACGGCUGCUGCAACUCGAGAUCAAGAAAAAAGGCAUUUUCUCUUUUGUGAUUUUUGAGAACAAUUUGUUUAGUAAGUUUCGGAUGUUUUCUUUCAUAU
rnacentral:lncRNA from 1 species